UGCGAAACUCGAAUGAACGAACGGGGAGAUUCAUCGUCAUUCCUCGGCGUGUCGGCGCACGUGUCGAUGUCGCGCGGCUUCGGUCGCGCUACACUGCGUGUGUCGCACUACGUUCGCGGACGGCGUGCACUUCUCCCUUAGUAAUACAUCGCGACCCGUUCGAUGUCGGUCUAAGCGCCGUUCGGGAGUCACUCGCGUCCCCUCGCGGGGUGCACGGGUGACCGUGACGGUUGCCGACCGGCUGUCGGACGGUAUGUUGACGGAUCGCGUACGCGUUUACAACGCGUCCGGCCCGACGCAAGGUGGCGUCGUUCUCACCCUCGUCCUGCCCGAGUGCGGGCGGGGGUGCGGCGUGCCUGUCGUCGCAGCCGUGCUGUCUCGGACUGUACGCGUCCCGUGUCUGC
rnacentral:rRNA from 1 species